UACGUAGGUGACCAGCGUUGUCCGGAUUUACUGGGCGUAAAGAGCGCGCAGGCGGUCGUUCAAGUCGAGUGUGAAAGCCCCCGGCUCAACUGGGGGGGGUCACUUGAUACUGAUCGACUCGAAGGCAGGAGAGGGAAGCGGAAUUCCCGGUGUAGUGGUGAAAUGCGUAGAUAUCUGGAGGAACACCGGUGGCGAAGGCGGCAUUCUGGACCGAUAUUGACGCUGAGGAGCGAAAGCCAGGGGAGCAAACGGG
rnacentral:rRNA from 1 species